rnacentral:lncRNA from 1 species
CGAUCAAGAAGAUGCUCCAAAGAUCACUGCCUUGCUAAGCGUUCAACGUGCUGGGUAACUUCCUGUCGAUAGUGCGGCUGAAGCGAGACCUGAGCCCGGCGAUCGUGGAGGAGGAGCUGAAAGCGCGGCUGGCGUCGAACGAGGUGGAGGCGCAGACAGCGCUGGGCGCCCUCAUGGAGCACACCCUCGACAAAUUCGUCGACAACCACGUGCUCAGGGUGAACCUCCCCUUCGGCAUGACCGCCGCCAUGGUCGACGAGAACUCCGCCGAGAGACGAUCCAGUUCCGGCAAUAGCAUCGACAUCAACCUCGGACGGGCCCUUGGAGAAGGACGAGGGAAGAAGAAAAUGAAAAAGAUGAUGGGCACAAUGAUGAUGAUGAUAAUGGGCAAAAUGGCAUUGAUGGGUCCCAUGAUGAUGAUGAUGAUCAAGAUCAAAGCCAUCAAGGCUCUGCUACUCAGUAAACUCGCUCUUGCUAUGAGCCUGCUCCAGCUCUUCAAAUCGAUGGGCAAAGGCAAAGGUGGUGGAGGUGGCGGCGGCGGAGGAGGAAAAGAGGUAAAUGAAUAAUGAAAAUCAAGAAUAUAAAUAAAUUGCAAUGAUUUACGUAUG